rnacentral:rRNA from 1 species
AGAGUUUGAUCCUGGCUCAGAUUGAACGCUGGCGGCAUGCCUUACACAUGCAAGUCGAACGGCAGCACGGGAGCAAUCCUGGUGGCGAGUGGCGAACGGGUGAGUAAUAUAUCGGAACGUGCCCAGUCGUGGGGGAUAACGCAGCGAAAGCUGUGCUAAUACCGCAUACGAUCUCUGGAUGAAAGCGGGGGACUCGCAAGGGCCUCGCGCGAUUGGAGCGGCCGAUAUCAGAUUAGCUAGUUGGUGGGGUAAAAGCCCACCAAGGCGACGAUCUGUAGCUGGUCUGAGAGGACGACCAGCCACACUGGAACUGAGACACGGUCCAGACUCCUACGGGAGGCAGCAGUGGGGAAUUUUGGACAAUGGGCGCAAGCCUGAUCCAGCAAUGCCGCGUGCAGGAUGAAGGCCUUCGGGUUGUAAACUGCUUUUGUACGGAACGAAACGGUCCUUUCUAAUACAAGGGGCUAAUGACGGUACCGUAAGAAUAAGCACCGGCUAACUACGUGCCAGCAGCCGCGGUAAUACGUAGGGUGCGAGCGUUAAUCGGAAUUACUGGGCGUAAAGCGUGCGCAGGCGGUUAUAUAAGACAGAUGUGAAAUCCCCGGGCUCAACCUGGGACCUGCAUUUGUGACUGUAUAGCUAGAGUACGGUAGAGGGGGAUGGAAUUCCGCGUGUAGCAGUGAAAUGCCUA